rnacentral:rRNA from 1 species
CCUCGGGGUGCAGCAGUGGGGAAUACUGCACAAUGGAGGAAACUCUGAUGCAGCAACGCCGCGUGGAGGAUGACACUUUUCGGAGCGUAAACUCCUUUUAUAUAGGAAGAAGAUGACGGUACUAUAUGAAUAAGCGCCGGCUAACUCCGUGCCAGCAGCCGCGGUAAUACGGAGGGCGCAAGCGUUACUCGGAAUCACUGGGCGUAAAGAGCGUGUAGGCGGAUUAAAAAGUCAGAAGUGAAAUCCUAUAGCUUAACUAUAGAACUGCUUCUGAAACUCUUAAUCUAGAAUAUGGGAGAGGUAGAUGGAAUUUCUGGUGUAGGGGUAAAAUCCGUAGAGAUCAGAAGGAAUACCGAUUGCGAAGGCGAUCUACUAGAACAUUAUUGACGCUGAGACGCGAAAGCGUGGGGAGCAAACAGGAUUAGAUACCCUCGUAGUC